UUAUCUCUGUAGAGUCUGCAUAUCAAUAAGCGGAGGAAAAGAAACUAACAAGGAUUCCCUUAGUAACGGCGAGUGAAGCGGGAAGAGCUCAAAUUUGAAAUCUUCAAGGUUUUACCUUGACGAAUUGUAGUUUAAAGAAGUGUAUUCUGUUGAAGUUUCGGUAAAAGUUCUUUGGAAUAGGACAUCAUAGAGGGUGAGAAUCCCGUAUUUGACCAUUUCUUCCAGCUGUGUGAUACACUUUCAAAGAGUCGGAUUGUUUGGGAAUGCAGUCCAAAAUGGGUGGUAAAUUUCAUCUAAAGCUAAAUAUUGGCGAGAGACCGAUAGCGAACAAGUACCGUGAGGGAAAGAUGAAAAGAACUUUGAAAAGAGAGUUAAACAGUACGUGAAAUUGUCAAAAGGGAAGCGUUUGACACCAGUGUUGUUUUCUCGAAAAUCAAUUAAAAAUGGUGGGAUUUUGUGUUGUAUUGACUUUAUCAGCUUUCUGCACUUUUUUCCUAUCUUUUUUAAUGCACUUUUCGUUUAACAAGUCAACAUCAAUUUCUUUUGUUGUAAAAGAGUCAUUGGAAGGUGGCUUUCACUUCGGUGAAAGUGUUUAUAGCCUUUGACUUCUGCAAUCGGAGAGAUUGAGGUCUGCAGCGUAGAUCCUUCGGGGCUAGAUACAUAGAUGCUAAGUUAUAGUUUUUUAUAGACAACAUUGUUGACUAUGAUUAAUCAUGUAGCUUACUCGCUUAUGCCUAUUUUACCUACGCUUAGGAUGUUGAAUCUGUGCGAGACUAC
rnacentral:rRNA from 1 species